rnacentral:ncRNA from 1 species
GAAUCGGGAGAGAUCGCAAAUCCGCGGCGCCGAAGGGGCAUGCAAGAACUCUCAGGCAAAAGGACCGGUU